rnacentral:rRNA from 1 species
UACGGAGGAGGCAAGCGUUAUCCGGAAUUAUUGGGCGUAAAGCGUCCGUAGAUGGUUUUGUCGGUCUGCUGUCAAAGCACAGGGCUUAACCCUGUAAAGGCAGUGGAAACUACAAGACUAGAGUGCAGUAGGGGCAGAGGGAAUUCCCAGUGUAGCGGUGAAAUGCGUAGAGAUUGGGAAGAACAUCCGUGGCGAAAGCGCUCUGCUGGACUGCAACUGACAUUGAGGGACGAAAGCUAGGGGAGCGAAUGGG